GUUAAUAUAGUUUAACAGGUUAAAACGGUUGCUUCAUAAGCAAUUAAUGUUAAGUUCAAAUCUUACUAUUGACU